UGGGGAAUAUUGGGCAAUGGGCGAAAGCCUGACCCAGCAACGCCGCGUGAAGGAAGAAGGUCUUCGGAUUGUAAACUUCUUUUAUGAGGGACGAAGGACGUGACGGUACCUCAUGAAUAAGCCACGGCUAACUACGUGCCAGCAGCCGCGGUAAUACGUAGGUGGCAAGCGUUAUCCGGAUUUACUGGGUGUAAAGGGCGAGUAGGCGGUCUUGCAAGUCAGAUGUGAAAUACCGGAGCUCAACUCCGGGGCUGCAUUUGAAACUGUAGGACUUGAGUGAUGGAGAGGCAGGCGGAAUUCCCGGUGUAGCGGUGGAAUGCGUAGAUAUCGGGAGGAACACCAGUGGCGAAGGCGGCCUGCUGGACAUUAACUGACGCUGAGGAGCGAAAGCGUGGGGAGCAAACAGGAUUAGAUACCCUGGUAGU
rnacentral:rRNA from 1 species